UGCAAAUAAACGUAAAUAUAAUUGAAUAAAAAUAAUUGUAACUUAUUUCAAUCCUCAAAAUCACCAUUGAACCAAACAAAGAAUCUUUCAGUCCUUUUAAGAUAUUUAUUUUGACAUGAAGGAGGUUCAGGAAGCUGAACACACUCGUUGGCGGCGGAGCGGAGGCGAGGCGACACGAGAGGAAGCGAAGCGGUUGCUAACUGGUCUCGUGCAUUAUUUUCGGUAGAGGUCACGCGCCUCCAAACCCGUCCUCAUGGAUUGGCUCACUAGCGCGACGUUCUGGUUGGGGAUGGUACAUUGGACUCACGUCUUACUCCGGGGCAUAGUAGCUAUACUUGAAACCUACUGGAGACACCAGGUUGCAGAGGUCCAGCCAGUGCAGAACCCACCACCGCCUCCUGCCAUGCCACCUCCUGCCAUGCAGAACGGAGCUGCAACAGUUAUUGGCCAGGAAAGCGACCAUUAACGGGAUUCUGGAACAGUGGGACUAUGUAUCACCAAUGUCCAGUAGAGACUAGCCCAUUUAUGCUUCCCAGGAUGAAUAUUUAUAGCAAUUGUGUUCACUGACACAUUAAAACACAACUCGUUACAAAAAA